CUUAACACAUGCAAGUCGCACGAAGGUUUCGGCCUUAGUGGCGGACGGGUGAGUAACGCGUAGGUAUCUAUCCAUGGGUGGGGGAUAACACUGGGAAACUGGUGCUAAUACCGCAUGACACCUGAGGGUCAAAGGCGCAAGUCGCCUGUGGAGGAGCCUGCGUUUGAUUAGCUAGUUGGUGGGGUAAAGGCCUACCAAGGCGAUGAUCAAUAGCUGGUUUGAGAGGAUGAUCAGCCACACUGGGACUGAGACACGGCCCAGACUCC
rnacentral:rRNA from 1 species